AAUCAACGCUGGCGGCGUGCCUCAGACAUGCAAGUCGAACGCUGCUGUUCGCCUUCGGGUGGACAGCGGAGUGGCGCACGGGUGAGUAACACGUAGGUAAUCUACCUUUGGGUGGGGAAUAACAGCCGGAAACGGCUGCUAAUACCGCAUAAUGCAGCGGCAUCACAUGAUGACAGUUGUUAAAGCGAGGGAUCGUAAGACCUCGCGCCUGAAGAGGAGCCUGCGGCAGAUUAGGUAGUUGGUGAGGUAAUGGCUCACCAAGCCUGCGAUCUGUAACCGGCCUGAGAGGGCGGUCGGUCACACUGACACUGGCAUACGGGUCAGACUCCUACGGGAGGCAGCAGUCGGGAA
rnacentral:rRNA from 1 species